UACGGGGGGGGCAAGCGUUGUUCGGAAUUACUGGGCGUAAAGGGCGCGUAGGCGGCGCGGUAAGUCACUUGUGAAAUCUCUGAGCUUAACUCAGAACGGCCAAGUGAUACUGCAGUGCUAGAGUGCAGAAGGGGCAAUCGGAAUUCUUGGUGUAGCGGUGAAAUGCGUAGAUAUCAAGAGGAACACCUGAGGUGAAGACGGGUUGCUAGGCUGACACUGACGCUGAGGCGCGAAAGCCAGGGGAGCAAACGGG
rnacentral:rRNA from 1 species